rnacentral:rRNA from 1 species
UUUAACAAGGUUUCCGUAGGUGAACCAGCGGAGGGAUCAUU